rnacentral:rRNA from 1 species
CAGUAGCCGCGGUAAUACGAAGGGGGCUAGCGUUGUUCGGAAUUACUGGGCGUAAAGCGCACGUAGGCGGAUACUUAAGUCAGGGGUGAAAUCCCGGGGCUCAACCCCGGAACUGCCUUUGAUACUGGGUAUCUCGAGUCCGGAAGAGGUGAGUGGAAUUCCGAGUGUAGAGGUGAAAUUCGUAGAUAUUCGGAGGAACACCAGUGGCGAAGGCGGCUCACUGGUCCGGUACUGACGCUGAGGUGCGAAAGCGUGGGGAGCAAACAGGAUUAGAUACCCGGGUAGUCCCUGUCUCUUAUAC